AAAUGUUGCUACUUAGUGUAUAUUCUUUUUAUUUGUCAGAUCGUUGACACUAAUUAUUAAUUCUAAAAUUCGAGUGAUUAGAAAUAUGCAACUAAUUUACUUAAAUCAUAUAUACAUAUAUAGCGCUUAUGGGUCUCGAUUGUAACUCGAUCAACCAGCUUCACGCUACUUCUCAUAUGACUCAGCUCAAUCUGACUUUUCACCAUUACGAACGUGAGUCGGUCCAAUCUAACCUCCGACCACAUCGCAGGAUGCUGGCGUCUUUAAUUUUAGAAAAUUCCAAAAUUUUCAUACAAAAUAACUAAGUUAUUUCAAUCUACAACAAUGACUCAAUAUUACUUUAUAUAAUGAUUAGAAAUUAAAAUAUAAUAAUGUAAAGAGAAACCAAAUUGUGAUAUGGGAAUAGUGCAGGGAUCAUUCAUACAAUUAAAUUUUUUUUAUAAAAAAAUUGCCAACUAAUGCAUGGAGGUUGUUUUAGCUUGCAUCAGUGCUAUCUAUAGCUGUUAGCUAGGCACGGUCACAUUCAACAAAACGUUACGUAACAAACGCUUGGUGGGGACUACCAUGCAAAAUAUAAAAUUUUUUAUUUCAUUUUUCACUUUACUUUAUUAUUUUAUUUAUUUUGCAUUUGGGUCCUUGUCACCCCAUGUGUGUUGUUUCACACCAUCACACCUUUGCUCCCUCAAAGUAAGGAAAAGAUAUUUGUUUAUUUACUGGAAAAGAGAAAGGGCGAGGGAAUCUCGUUUUGCCUCGGAAAGUGUGAACUCUUGUACUAAAAUAAAUUAAAAGAGACUUCACAUUUUGCGAACUUAUCCUCUCACAUAAAUAUGAAAGUUAACGGGUCCAAUUCGGAUCGGGUUUAGAAAAAUCUAAAUUCAAACAGAUCCGGAACUUGAAUCCGAGCUUGAGUCUGAAUCCGACGGACUUUAAAAGCCCAUAUCCAAAACUGAAUCCAAUCAAAAAUUCUAAAUUUGAACCCCAACUCGAAAACUCGAACACGAAGCAAUUAUUUUUCUUUACUAUAUUUCAAAAUAAAUUAAUAAAUUAUAAAUUUUUUUAAAAAAUUAAAAUAUAACAUCAAAUAUUUAUAUAUAGUAUAUAAUAUAAAAUGUAUUUAUCGGAUUCGGGUACUGAAAUAAUUCAUAUUUGAAUUCGAAUUCGCCGGGUUUUCGUUUUUUAUAGUCAUAUUCAACACUAUAUCUGUUUAGUAUCGGGUAAACCCACUCCAUUCGGAUUUGAGUGCGUGUUUAAAUAAAAUUUCAAGUAUCCUUACCCAUUGACAUUCCUACAUAUGAAUAGUAUGUACUUAGAGUCCGUUGGUUGCACGUAUCUGCAACUGCAGUGCAGUUGCAAAUACAUGCAACUUCAAUUCUCAUGUUUGAAUUUAGUGCAGUUGACCGUCAAUUUGAACACUCUAUCAUCUAAAAUGACAUGGAAGCAUCAUGGACUAGAUAUUUCUAAAAAUAUUCUAACUCAGUCCUAGAGGUAGUAUAAUAUUGUAUAAAUCAACAAAAAAAAAAAUUAUUGUUUAAAAUCAACUUAGAUAAAUAUAACUAAUUAUAUUAAGGUUUUUCUUUUAACUUAAAUUUUAUGCAAUUUAAAGGCCUGUCAAAAUAGAUUUCUUUAUUAUUGUGAUCACAGAUAAUCUAGCCAUAUAUCUUCCUAAAAAUAAUAAUAAGAACAAAAAUAUAUAAACUCAAUUUGCCUGAACUAUAGACCAUUUUGAUUCGACUAUUCAAUUUUUCAAAAUUUUAAUAUUAUUACCUAACCUUUCAACUUAUUUGACUUAAGUGAUAUGAUGAUUUUUCAAUUACAAAAUUUAAACUAAUUGCCCACUUUAAUGAAUUUAUAAUUACGUACAUUAAUUGCAUAUAAUAUACUAACUAAAUUCGUAAAGAUAAACAACACAUUCAAAUUUCGAAAUUAAAAGGUCACUAAUUGACUUAAAUCAAAUAAAUAAAAAAGUCAGAUAAUAAAAUCAAAAUUUUCAAAGAUUAGAUAGUCGAAUCCGAAAAGCUGAUAAUUGAUGUAAGUUUUAUACAUUUUUGCCAAUUAAAGAGAAAUAAGCACUUAAAAGCAACCAUCAUUUUUUUUUUUUUGUUUUCUCACAAAAAACAUGGAAUGCAAACAAUUCACCAUCUAUCCAUAUAUUCAAUGAUACUGAAUUUGAGUUCCAAAAAAAAUAUAAUAAUAAAUAUGAUAAAAUGGGGUCUUAAGCAACAAUUAGAUUUACCAUGCUUGAUCCAUCUUUAGAAACUAGAAAAAGUAAUUAACUUGAGAAUUAUUGUGAGGCAAAAUAAAUGCUAAUUUUACAUAUACAGUAGGGUCACAUAUAAAUAAGAAAUUAAUGUUGGCAAAACUCGAUCAACCAAGAUAAGCAGUUUCAGUUAAAUGGGUUGGUGGUUAGUUAAUGGUCCUAAUUAAUUAUUAUCUCCAACUUUUGAGGUUCUUAAUUUGCCAUUUAAUGACUUUUUUAAUUUUUUUCUAAACAAAGAGAAUCAAUCCAUGUGACAAUCUUAACUCUACAGUAGAAAUUUCCUAGUUUAUUAUAUUCUGCUUUUAUUUAUUAAAAAAGAAAAUCUGUGAUCUUGAACCAUUAGGUAGACAUUUAAUUUGAUUUAGCUGAAAAUGUAUAAACAUUUUAUCGCGACAAAAUUAAGAAAAGGAUAUAAUUUUAGUCUUGUGCUUUUGCAGUAGUAGAUAGUUUUGUGACAACUUCAUUACUCUAUUCAAACAAACUCUUUAUGAAUUAAUUAACAUUCUUUUUUUUUUCUUUCUUUUUCUUUUUUUUUGAGAAAUAGGUAGCAAGCCACCUGCUUCAUUCAUUAAGCGAAAUGAACAAUUAACAUUUUUUUCAUAAGCUUCAACUGAGUGAAUAAGUCACAACCAUGUUCAAGCAGUUUUAUUUUCCACUUAAUUUUUUGUUUAUAAUUGGUUUCUACACUCUUCUCAGGUGAUACAACAACAAAAAUUUGGCACAGGGAUUAAGUAGCUAGUAAUAAUAAUUUCCACCUCUCACAUUAUUCACAAUCUAUACAGUAUACACUACAACAAAAUUUCUCACAUUAUUCACAAUCUAUACAGUAUACACUACAACAAAAUUAGGUUAUAGGGACAUAUUUUUGGGGCACUUUUGUGUACAUAUUUCAUUUUUACCAAAAUUUUUUUAAAAAAAUCUAUAAGGUCUAAAUAUAAAACCUAAUCCAACCAAAAAUAAAAAAUUUCUCUACUCAACCAGUCCCACCCAGCCCACUCAACCCAAUUACAAAUAGGAAGAAAAAAAAAAAAUGAUCACCAUCUCCCCUACUCCUCCGCCGCCGCAGCCGACGAGGUAGGGUUCCAGUGGCUGGAGUUCGGUCGCGAGAAUCUCGCAGGGGUUGUAGAGAGUUACGAUCACCACGUAUUCCUCCACCACAGGUCGCUGGAGGAGUGGGUGCCAAACAUCGAGACGAUCCCACAUAUAGCGACUCCACAUAUAGCGGCUUUUUUUAGAAAGUUUCGGUAAUUUAGCCAACAACACUUUUUUUAAUCUGUACCGAUAUUUUAAAAGUGUCGCUAUAUACCGUUUUUGUUGUAGUACUUGUAACAAGUAUUAAUAUUCACUCCGAAAGCUGUGCCAAAAAGAAUAAAAUAUUUAUACAAUACAAAAUAUAAAUGUAGCUUGUUUAGCUGAAAGUAAAAAUGUAUAGAAUAUAUU
rnacentral:lncRNA from 1 species